AAAAAUGCCACGAUGGAGAAGAGUAUGUCUAUACGUUUCAAGAGAGGAAAACACGUGCUGGAAGUUUUCUAAGCCUCUGUAGACAGAAGGUAGCUCUACUAGCAGCUUUUCUGAACGCGAUGUAGUAGGAAAAGCCGGCGAUGGACCGUUAUAUCCAAACGAAGUGUACAGAAAUUUUCUGUAAAUUAAGGUGGUACCACGGAAAUGAACCCUUUCGUCCUUAGC
rnacentral:ncRNA from 1 species